AACAUCUUGCUUGAAAGAGAUUGCAUACUUAAAACGUUCUUUCUACUGCAGUCGACCACAGACAGACAGAGACACCAAUGGAGAGGCACAUCAGACAACAACUUGUCAUUGAAGUUAGAAUCAUACAGCAGAUAUUACAAUUAGGAGUCUGUUAGAAAGGUAUUCAUACAGUAGAAGUAAGUUAAUACUAUAAGUAAAAGUAAAAAUCAUAUAUAUUACAAUAAAAGGUCAGACAGUCUGAAUUAGUUGAUUAACUGAUUGAGUGGGGUCAUCAUUGAUAUUCGGUACGGUUAGUUAAGAUGGCCGACUACGUCAACAAACAGGUGAUUGAAUUAAAAGAAGUUAAUGAAGAAAACCAGAAUAGAGCAACGAGGAGCGUGAAGGCUGAGACCCAUCUCUCAGAUAACAGAGGCAAUGUGACUGCAGAGAAAGACCUGCUACAGACCAGUUACAACACCCUGAGUGAAGAGAGAGACCAGCUACAGACCAGAUACAACACACUGACUGAAGAGAGAGACGAGCUACAGAGCAGUUACAACACCCUGACUAAAAAGAGAGACCAGCUACAGAAGGAAAGAGAUGAUCUCACGUCAACAUUCUCUAAUCUGAAACAAACCUGUCCUGAAGGCUGGCAGAAGUUUGAAUCCAGUUGGUACUUCCUGUCUACAGUGACAAAUCCCUGGAGGA